AUUGAACGCUGGCGGCAUGCCUUACACAUGCAAGUCGAACGGCAGCACGGGUGCUUGCACCUGGUGGCGAGUGGCGAACGGGUGAGUAAUACAUCGGAACAUGUCCUGUAGUGGGGGAUAGCCCGGCGAAAGCCGGAUUAAUACCGCAUACGAUCUACGGAUGAAAGCGGGGGACCUUGGGGCCUCGCGCUAUCGGGUUGGCCGAUGGCUGAUUAGCUAGUUGGUGGGGUAAAGGCCUACCAAGGCGACGAUCAGUAGCUGGUCUGAGAGGACGACCAGCCACACUGGGACUGAGACACGGCCCAGACUCCUACGGGAGGCAGCAGUGGGGAAUUUUGGACAAUGGGCGAAAGCCUGAUCCAGCAAUGCCGCGUGUGUGAAGAAGGCCUUCGGGUUGUAAAGCACUUUUGUCCGGAAAGAAAUCCUUGGCCCUAAUACGGUCGGGGGAUGACGGUACCGGAAGAAUAAGCACCGGCUAACUACGUG
rnacentral:rRNA from 1 species